ensembl:misc_RNA Metazoa_SRP Metazoan signal recognition particle RNA
GCCGGGCGUGGUGGCUCACGCCUGUAAUCCCAGCACUUUAGGAGGCCGAGGUGGGUGGAUCACUUGAGGUCAGGAGUUUGAGACCAGCCUGGCCAACAUGGUGAAACCCCAUCUCUA